AGUAGGAGCAUCUGCUUUGGGUGAGUCUGGUUGAAGGAGUCAUGAUAGGGUCGAUGGUUGGAUGUCUGGAGCAGACAGUAUUGACAACAAAUGAGCAGGCCUUAUGAAACUGACAGCUUCCGCUACCUGUCUCUUAGAAUAAUCGCUCUUGAAACCCAGCCACUAUGCUGUGAGGAAGACCAAGCAUCCCGUGGGGAAGCCCACAUUGAGAAGAACUGGGAGUUCCAGACUGAAGUCCUGCUGUGUUCCCAGACAACAGUCAGUACCAAUUUGCCUUUUAAGAGAGUGAGCUAUCAUGUAAAUGACUUCUCUGGAUCCAGAAAAGCCUAGAUCUUGACCUACAAAAUCAUGAGCAAAAUAAAAUUGUUCUCUUAAGACAUUA